rnacentral:rRNA from 1 species
UACGGAAGGGGCAAGCGUUGUUCGGAAUCAUUGGGCGUAAAGGGCGCGUAGGUGGUUCUGUAUGUCUACCGUGAAAGCAUACAGCUCAACUGUAUUUUGUCGGUAGAAAACUGCAGGACUUGAGGCUGGGAGGGGCUGGUGGAAUUCCCUGUGUAGCGGUGAAAUGCGUAGAGAUGGGGGGAGAACACUCGUGGCGAAGGCGGCCAGCUAGACCAGUUCUGACACUGAGGCGCGACAGCGUGGGGGAGCAAACAGG